GCUUAGUAACGGCGAGUGAAACGCGAAUAGCCCAACUUGAAAAUCUCUUUUGAGAAUUGUAGUCUAUAGAAGCGCCCUCUGCGGCGGCAGGACCCCAAGUCUGGUGGAAGCCAGCGACAGAGAGGGUGACAUCCCCGUCGGGUCUAUGCUUAGCUGCUCCACGAGGUGCUUUCCACGAGUCGGGUUGUUUGGGAAUGCAGCCCAAAAUUGGAGGUAAAUCCCUUCUAAGGCUAAAUACUGACGAGAGACCGAUAGCGAACAAGUACCGUGAGGGAAAGAUGAAAAGAACUUUGAAAAGAGAGUUAAUAAGUGCUUGAAAUUGUUGAGGGGGAAGCGAUUGGAAGACGUGGGUGCGCCUAGGCUUAUGGGUUUCUAACGAUGCUCUGUAUGUGCUAGGUGCUAGUCAACAUGGGUUUGGCGGGUGUGAUAACAGCCGGGAUUGUUACCUGGUCUAUGACACCUGCUGGACCGAGGUGUGAAUGGCGCUUUGUCCUUUGGAACUGCGUCAUCAAGAUGUUGGCAGAAGUCUUUCAAUCGGC
rnacentral:rRNA from 1 species